rnacentral:rRNA from 1 species
GACAGAGGGUGCAAACGUUGUUCGGAAUUACUGGGCGUAAAGCGUGCGUAGACGGUCAUGUAAGUCGGAUGUGAAAGCCCCGGGCUCAACCUGGGAAUUGCAUUCGAGACUGCAUGGCUUGGGUGCGGAAGAGGGAAGCGGAAUUUCCGGUGUAGCGGUGAAAUGCGUAGAUAUCGGAAGGAACACCAGUGGCGAAAGCGGCUUCCUGGUCCGACACCGACGUUCAGGCACGAAAGCGUGGGGAGCAAACAGG